rnacentral:rRNA from 1 species
AUUGAACGCUGGCGGCAUGCCUUACACAUGCAAGUCGAACGGCAGCACGGGGGCAACCCUGGUGGCGAGUGGCGAACGGGUGAGUAAUACAUCGGAAUGUACCCAGUAGUGGGGGAUAACUAGUCGAAAGAUUAGCUAAUACCGCAUACGCACUAUGGUGGAAAGCGGGGGAUCGCAAGACCUCGCGCUAUUGGAGCAGCCGAUGUCCGAUUAGGUAGUUGGUGGGGUAAAAGCCUACCAAGCCUGCGAUCGGUAACUGGUCUGAGAGGACGACCAGUCACACUGGGACUGAGACACGGCCCAGACUCCUACGGGAGGCAGCAGUGGGGAAUUUUGGACAAUGGGGGCAACCCUGAUCCAGCCAUGCCGCGUGAGUGAAGAAGGCC